rnacentral:lncRNA from 1 species
CUUGACGAAGCCGGGAACGAUCUGUGAUCUCUCUACUUCUCUCUGCUUCUCUCUCGGACCUCCCACUCUUGUACUCUCGCAUCCUCCGUGCUACCUCUCUAGCUUUCUCCUAUAGCUUUAUUUUUCCUUUCUUGUAUUUUUCUACCUUUCUCUGCUUUCUUAGGAGGCCUUAGCUGCUUCCAUCAUAUACGCCUAAUUCAUUUUGCUUGAUGAAUGAAGCAUCUUUCUCAAAAAUAAAAAAAAAUAAAAAUCUUAAUUUUACUAUUUAAAAUUAUUUUAUCGUCUCUUUUAUGAGAAGAGUAAUGGUAACUGAGGCACAAAAUUUUAUACUCUAUUUCUUCAAAAAUCAUUAUUUUCACUAAUCUGAUCAUUUUUUUCCAUAAUGCAAUAAAUUCAAAAAACAUUAUAAACCUUC